UACGGAGGGUGCAAGCGUUGUCCGGAUUUAUUGGGUUUAAAGGGUGCGCAGGCGGAGCGCUAAGUCAGUGGUGAAAUCCCGCAGCUCAACUGCGGAACUGCCAUUGAUACUGGCGCCCUUGAGUACAGACGAGGUAGGCGGAAUUUAUGGUGUAGCGGUGAAAUGCAUAGAUACCAUAAAGAACACCGAUAGCGAAGGCAGCUUACUAGACUGUAACUGACGCUCAUGCACGAAAGCGUGGGGAGCGAACAGG
rnacentral:rRNA from 1 species